CCCUUAGAUGUUCUGGGCCGCACGCGCGCUACACUGAUGCAUUCAACGAGUUUCUUCCUGGUCCGAGAGGAAUGGGUAACCUUUUGAAAGUGCAUCGUGAUAGGGAUAGACUAUUGCAAUUAUUGGUCUUCAACGAGGAAUUCCUAGUAGACGUAGUUCAUCAGACUGCAUCGAUUACGUCCCUGCCCUUUGUACACACCGCCCGUCGCUCCUACCGAUUGAAUGCUCAGGUGAGCCAUUCGGACUUUCGUCAUGCUGGUUUCCAGUUUUGAUGAAGGAAAGUCUUGCGAACCUUAUCAUUUAGAGGAAGGAGAAGUCGUAACA
rnacentral:rRNA from 1 species